UGCUGUGGCUAUGUCUGGCUGUGACAUCUGUCAUUCUAUUGAUUCUCGAGACUCAUCUUCCUGAUCUGGCUGAUGGGUGGGUGCCCCUCUGCCUCACUCUGUUAGGGGCAUCCUUGCAGAAACUUUGUGCUCAGAGAAUUUCUUUUCCAGGGAACAGUCUUCAGUCAAAGUAUAUGAGCAUUUUCUGUCGUUGUUAUAAUCUCCAAACAGACCAUCCAGGUCUACUUU
rnacentral:sRNA from 1 species